UACGUAGGUGGCAAGCGUUGUCCGGAAUUAUUGGGCGUAAAGCGCGCGCAGGCGGUCCUUUAAGUCUGAUGUGAAAGCCCACGGCUCAACCGUGGAGGGUCAUUGGAAACUGGGGGACUUGAGUGCAGAAGAGGAGAUCGGAAUUCCACGUGUAGCGGUGAAAUGCGUAGAGAUGUGGAGGAACACCAGUGGCGAAGGCGACUCUCUGGUCUGUAACUGACGCUGAGGCGCGAAAGCGUGGGGAGCAAACAGG
rnacentral:rRNA from 1 species